GACGAACGCUGGCGGCGUGCUUAACACAUGCAAGUCGAACGCUGAAGCUCAGCUUUUGUUGGGUGGAUGAGUGGCGAACGGGUGAGUAACACGUGAGUAACCUGCCCCCUUCUUUGGGAUAACGCCCGGAAACGGGUGCUAAUACUGGAUAUUCACUGGUCUUCGCAUGGGGGUCGGUGGAAAGGGUUUUUCUGGUGGGGGAUGGGCUCGCGGCCUAUCAGCUUGUUGGUGGGGUGAUGGCCUACCAAGGCUUUGACGGGUAGCCGGCCUGAGAGGGUGACCGGUCACAUUGGGACUGAGAUACGGCCCAGACUCCUACGGGAGGCAGCAGUGGGGAAUAUUGCACAAUGGGCGCAAGCCUGAUGCAGCGACGCCGCGGGAGGGAUGGAGGCCUUCGGGUUGUGAACCUCUUUCGCUCAUGGUCAAGCCGCAACAAUGGUUGUGGUGAGGGUAGUGGGUAAAGAAGCGCCGGCUAACUACGUG
rnacentral:rRNA from 1 species